GCAGUGGUGGUUCAGUGGUAGAAUUUCAGCCUUCCAUGAAGAAGACCGGAGUUCAGUUCCCAGCCAAUGCA
rnacentral:tRNA from 1 species